rnacentral:piRNA from 1 species
UAAACNGUUGGCUGUUGCUCGUGUUGCC